rnacentral:rRNA from 1 species
GACGAACGCUGGCGGCGUGCCUAACACAUGCAAGUCGAACGGAAAUACAGAAGGUGUUUACACCGGAUGUAUUUUAGUGGCGGACGGGUGAGUAACGCGUGAGCAAUCUGCCUUUCAGAGGGGGAUAACAACGGGAAACCGUUGCUAAUACCGCAUAAUACCAUUCUGUGGCAUCACGGAAUGGUCAAAGGAGCAAUCCGCUGAAAGAUGAGCUCGCGUCCCAUUAGGUAGUUGGUGAGGUAAUGGCCCACCAAGCCUGCGAUGGGUAGCCGGACUGAGAGGUUGAACGGCCACACUGGAACUGAGACACGGUCCAGACUCCUACGGGAGGCAGCAGUGGGGAAUAUUGGGCAAUGGGGGAAACCCUGACCCAGCAACGCCGCGUGAAGGAAGAAGGUCUUCGGAUUGUAAACUUCUGUCCUAUGGGAAGAAACAAAUGACGGUACCAUAGGAGGAAGCUCCGGCUAACUACGUG